ensembl:lncRNA
AUGCUGCAAAUGUUCAUUUACAGAGGGAUGGCCAUGGCCAAGCCCCGGAGGCAGCAGCAUCUGAGCCCACAGCAGCUUCCCCCUCCAUGUAUGGGCAGAAGUGCGGACAGGAGGAAGGAGGGCAGUCUGAGUGCUAUCCAGUCCUCCCACAGAGAAGGAGAGACAGAAAAAAAGAAAGAGAAAGAUGUUCCAUCCACUGGUUCACUCUCCAAAUGGCCGCCAAUGGCCAAGGCUUGGCCAGGAGCCAGGAGCGUCACCCGGGUCUCCCACGUGGGUGUAGUGGUCCAAGCAUUGUGCCAUCUUCUGUUGCUUUCCCAGGUGCAUUGGCAGGGAGCUGGAUUCGAAGGGGAGCAGCUGGGAUUCAAGCUGGUGUUCAUACGGGAUGCUGAUGUCACAGACAACAGCUUAACCCACUGUGCCACGCACUGGCCCCCGGCUCAGACUCUUAAUAGGAAAGCUGACUCGGUGCCAAGCGGGUCCUGGAACGUGAGACAUGAAAAUGAUGACAUCAAGCCCCUGGGUUUCCUAGCAAGCCGGCGGAAACCCCGCACUCCUGGAAUUUAGAUCCAGGGAACUCUGGAGAGCAUGCGGCUGUCACCCUAGCUUCAACACACACAGCAGCACCCAGCCCAUCUAAAGACAGUGCCUCUACUCCUUAAAAGGCUACUCACGGCUUCCUCCCUGGCAACACUCCCUCUUCUGGGCCCAGGGCAUCCUCGGCCACAUGAUGGCAACUCCCGGACCAUGCUGGGCGGCCAGGGAGGGAGGCGGUAAGGGCUAGGGUCUCUGCUCUCACUCCAUCACGCCUAUCUGGCUUGAUCACACGGAGAAGGGAGAACCAGAUCAGAAACAGUACUGCAGACAGAAGCAAAACACCCAACAAAAAUCCCCAUCUCAUUUCUGCAAAUUUUAGCUCAGAUAAAACAGAAUACUUGCUUCUAUUUGCCCAUAUUUAUCUUUCAGUAAGAUUUAUUUAUUGUUCCAAAGGCAGAGUGAUGAGAAACAAGGGGAGAGACAGAGACAGCCAGAGAGGCAGGGAAGGAAAAGAAAGGGAGAGAAAUCUUUUAUCUACUGGUUCACUCUCCAAAUGCCUGCAACAGCUGGGGCUGGGCCAGAUCAAAGCCAGGGUCAGGAACUCCAACUGGACCUCCCACAUGGGGAACAGGCACCCAAGCACUUGAGCCGUCCUCGCUGCUUCCCAGGGUACAUCAGCAGGAAGCUGGAACAGAAGUGGAGUGGUGGGGACUCCCCUACAGGAUGCUGGUGUUGCAAGCAGCAGCUUAAGCCACUGCCCCACGUUGGCCACCCCACCUUUAUUUGACCUCUAACGUGAAAAUGUUCACAGAGUCUAGCCUUCACUAUGUGGCGGCCACUUGGUGACUUAAUUCCCUACUAUAAGUACGAUUAUAAGCUGAAAACUUCUCAGCUCUACACGUCAGUCGUUGGGAGGCAGCCCAAUUCUGCAGAUUAGUAAGCACCUACUGUAUGCACAGCACAACGUCAAAUGCUGGGGGCACAGCAGCAGACAGGGUGGUCUGCAGGUGCUCCUGUGGAACAGGCAGCUCCCAGAAUCAGACAGAAAGACUUGGGGUGUGGGGAAGCAGGGGAGGGUCUGCCAGGGGAAAAGGGGAAUGCUGGGGAGGCAGGGAGGCCUAGGAAGCCUUCCACAGAGACCCAAGACGUGAAGUGAGCCACACGUCCUUUGCUGUCAGCACCACGUCCAGCAAGGUGUGGAGUGGGGGAGCCUCUGGCAGGCGAGACCUGUGAGCACGUGGGCUUCCCGCUCUACAUGAGCCAGCUCUCAGUGUCUACCCAGUCACCCGUAAACUCUUCGAGCUGGGGCUUAAUCUACACCUCACAGCAUCUGUCCACAGGACGCCCGAGAGUCUUCCGGUUAUGCUGUGCCAAGAACCCAAGUAGGCAGCACAGGCAGAAGUCCCCCCAGCAGGCCCUGAUUGGUUGUUUGGUUUGGCAAUGGGCAUGUCUUAGCAAAAACGUGCAGGAGCUCACUAACUUUGCCACUGCCUAUAAGGACAGCUACCUAGGUUUUUUUUUUUUUUGACAGGCAGAGUGGACAGUGAGAGAGAGAGACAGAGAGAAAGGUCUUCCUUUGCCUUUGGUUCACCCUCCAAUGGCCGCGCUGAUCUGAUGGCAGGAGCAGGUACUUCUCCUGGUCUCCCAUGGGGUGCAGGGCCCAAGCACUUGGGCCAUCCUCCACUGCACUCCCGGGCCACAGCAGAAAGCUGGCCUGGAAGAGGGGCAACCGGGACAGAAUCCGGCACCCCAACCGGGACUAGAACCUGGUGUGCCGGCGCCACUAGGUGGAGGAUUAACCUAUUGAGCCGCGGCGCCAGCCAGCUACCUAGGUUUAAAACAGUGAGUUUUAAACUUAUUUUGUUUAAAAAAAAAAUGACUAUUUAUCUUUUCAUCUACUUGAAAGGCUAAGCCAGAGAGAAGCAGAGAGAGAGAUUGAUCCAUCUUCCAUCUGCUGGUUCACUCCCCAAAUGCCAGCCACAGCCUGGAAUGAGUCAGACUGAACCCUAGGAACCUGGAACUCCAUCUGGGUCUCCCACAUGGGUGGCAGGUGUCCAAGCACUUGGGCCAUCAUCUGAUGCCUCCCAAGUGCAUUAGCAGGAAGCUGGAUGAGAAGUGGAACAGCCAUUGCCAACAACGGGUAAUGAGAGAAGUACCAGAAUUUUCAAAGAAAAAAAAGCAAAGAAAUAAGAUGGGCAACAAUCUCUUUUAACCUAUUUCCACAAAACUCUAGGACCAAGAAUUUUCCAAGCUUGAUAAUAAAACUUCCCGAUGUAUUACA